ensembl:antisense
GUUCACGUCCAAAUGCUGUUGAAUGCUGGCCCAUUCAGCCUGUACUUCCUUGCUCUCCUGCUGCAAUGUCAUCAACUUCUUCUUUAUAAGAUUGUUUUCCAUUAGGGCCCGGCUGUGCAGGUUACUGUAAGGACACUCUGCAUGGGGACGGAGAAAGCACUGUUCUGAAAUCCUUGAUGUUCAAGAAUUGUGAUAACCAUGGAAAUUUUUUCACUACCUGGAGUUUCCAGUUCCACAUUACUAGAAAGGACAGCUCAGGCCACCCCUACCAGGAAGCUCAACAUCCACUUUCCAGGACUUACUCCACAUUCGCCAAGUCCACCUCCUUCGUCCUUCAUUCCUCUCACAUGGAAGGCCAGCAUCCAUGCUCCCCUCUCUUGUCUCUCUCCCAUCCACAUUGACUCUCUGAAAAAGUCUCCUGAGUCGGACACACAUGGUCAUCUCUGAAAUGGCCAGAUACCACCUGGGAAAUCUCAGUGAGCUUGUUGUCACUAAAAACUUGUGACAUCACAGAAGUUGCUAAGAACUCUCUCUCCAGGAGGCAAGAAGGGACUGCUGAUGUCAUGGAAUACAUACAGCCUUUGGUUCCCUGCUAAUGUUCUCCCUGUACUGACAGGAAGCUGAGCUGCCCUUUCCUGGGGCAUAGCCAUUGAGCACAUCCUCCUUCCAAAGCCAGGGUUUGUUCUAGGCUUGAUUGGCAACACCUAAGUAAUUCCUAUGUAUCUAACUCAAUGUUUCCUUUCCAAACACUUCUCAGAAAUGUCUCAUCCUACCUUAAAUUUUCCUCAAUCAGCAAUAUAAACCAUUAAAAAACUACUGAGAAGUC